CGGACGGGUGAGUAAUGUCUGGGAAACUGCCCGAUGGAGGGGGAUAACUACUGGAAACGGUAGCUAAUACCGCAUAACGUCGCAAGACCAAAGAGGGGACCUUCGGGCCUCUUGCCAUCGGAUGUGCCCAGAUGGGAUUAGCUAGUAGGUGGGGUAACGGCUCACCUAGGCGACGAUCCCUAGCUGGUCUGAGAGGAUGACCAGCCACACUGGGACUGAGACACGGUCCAG
rnacentral:rRNA from 1 species